AAGAUCAUACUUCACAGGAUCAUUUCUGUAGUAUAUCUUCGCAUACUCUCUACUCAAACGUUGAGUUGUCGCACCCACGAUGACGAGUUAAAGUUUUUUGUCCUGAGCGUGAGGCACUCUUUCAUUGAUCCAAUUCUCGGAUCUUUGAAGUCAUCGAUGAUCGUUCAACUGCGAAUUUAUUUCACAGAAAUGGGCAAAAAACAAUCUGAGUGGU